rnacentral:lncRNA from 10 species
CUUCCUCCAGAGAAUCUCAUCAUCAAGCUAGGAUAGAGACUAGGGGGUGCACUCUCUGCCCAGCCUGAAAAUGAGGGACGUGAAAUUCGCAAACAUAAAUGUUGGCCAAUAGGAUCAUUGGAUCCUUCAUCUAGCCCCUGGCAGCCUAAGACAGUUACCCUACAUUACUGGGAGAAAAGCAUGAAGACUCAGACUUGACACUGACCUCUAGUAGCAGGCAGUUUGUUGCAAAUUUAACAACUAUGCAGAACGUGGUUGUCAUAGCCUUGCCAGCUGCACUAGGUGUCACUGUGUGAACUUCUACUGAAUGAAAGAAUAAAAAAGGAAGAGAGAAGAAAGGCAUGAAGGUCACGAUCAUUUGAGGAAAGAUCAAAGGAAGAACCUUUUAAACUAACUUACCGAGCUUUAUAUUGACCUCUUCUAAUCAGAGGCUGAGAUGGAGAAAGUGAACGAGUUCACCAAACGGCAGAUACGGAAGUAAGAAGAUGAUCGGGAAAGCUCUAUCGGGUCUGUGCAGAUUGACAGUGGCCUCUGAUAUUUUCGGCAUAGGUGCAAGCAUAGGAAGGACUAUAUUCGCAGUGUUCAGCCUGUGCAGUCACACUUAGAAGAAGGGCCCAUGCUUGGUUUAAUGUUCUGCUGUCACGUUCUUGGAAUUUUAAAUAAUUUUGAACAAGGGGCCCCUUAUUUUCAUCUUGCACUACCCCCUGCAAAUUACAUAGCCAGCCUUGAGGUUUACUAUGCUAGGGCUUUAUUUUUGUUGAGUACUGCUCCUGACAGAAUAUUAAAACAAAAAUACUGCUAAAUUCUUAGAAAUUGGUUUCAUGUGAUACAAGUGGAUUCCAGGAAGAAGCUAUGUUUAUCAACUGAAAUUUAGCCUUUCCUUGUUAUUAAGACAAAAUCUCUUAGUAAGUACCAUUUCUUUUAACUAGCUUUUUUUGCCAGGAACUUUAUUUCUUCUUUUUCAACUGCCUCAUUGGUUCUACAAGACAGUAAACUUGUAGACAUUACAAUUUGGGCUUCCAGUAAGAAGCCAAAAGGGUGAUUGUUUGCUGUGAGUGGUGCAGGAAAGUAGAAUUUAAGACAUAAUGACCUAUAGGAGAGUACAAGAUAGGCACUACGGGUUGUAGUCAGCAGAUGGGCAGCUGGGGUUGAUUGUUUCUGAAGCUGGUGAAAGCAACUUCUGAGAAGGAUCAGCUAGAGUAAACAUUUUCCUGCUAAUAGAAGACUUCUUUUAUCAUCCAGAUUUUCACUUAGCAUUUCGUCCAUAAUUAUUUAGACAUCAUUGGAUCCUAUUUAAGUCUUUAGAAAUCUUAUGCAUUACAAUUCAGGAAAAGGAGACUCACUCCCAUGUUGUCUCAUAAACAGACUUUAGAAGUUCUAAAAUAACCAAAGGAAUGGGCACUAAAAGGGAUGGUAGAAUUUCUAAACUGAGCAUCUAUGUGGAGAAGUUCUCUAGCCCCAAGAUGCUAGUUCCAAACUUGACUUCUUAUAACCCUGAGUCGUGUUUUUUAGAUUAUGGCUUUCAUGCUAGGAAGAAAGAAAAUUCUCUAGAGAAAACAGCUUUUUGUCACGAAUAAAAUAAUUUGUACAAUAAUAAACUUGCUAAAUAUUUACCUAAUCAGGAGAGAUGAUAGGAAAUAGUAAUUUUUAAACCUGCCAGUUUUAUUAUUAGUUUAUUAUGCCAGUUUUAAAUAGUGGAAAUCCUUUCUUUAAAUGUAUGCUUUUAUGGCAGCCCAGCAUAAUAA